AAACUUUUCCGUGUUCGUCAAUCUGAAGUCUUCCCAUACUUUCUUCCCGAGGGGGUGCCCUUCUCCAGCAACCUUCUGCAGAUUUAAACUGGAGCGAUUUUCCCGUGCUCACCCUGCCGCAGACAUUUUCAAAAGAAACCCGUGUUGCUCCUCUGUGCUGGGUGGCAGAACCCUCAGGACACCAAUCAUCUCACACUUAACGACCCAGCCAGAUAUCAGCCUGCUUUACUGCCUUCAGCUGGGGAGCUCUCCAAGGGACUGGUCCUGCAGAAGUGUUGUCAGUCAGUUAACCAGGCAGACCAAGUGCUGUGUUUCAAGCAGAAGAUGAGGUGAAGAAGGUGAGCUGUACGGGUUUGGGGAUUGCUUUCAGUAUUUUACCUUCUUGCUCUCAUUUUCCCUCGAAUGGUAUCACCCAGCAGAAAGUGGAAAACAUGCUGCCAGGAGUGAAGUCAACAGCAUGUGAUGAGUGCAGCUGCAAUUUGAGCCUACCUAAUUGGGAGUUUCUCUUUGUUAGCACCCAGUGUGGUUAAUGUGCAAAGAUGAGGGGGAGUUCUAAUUAUGCAUUUACUGAAUAUAACAUGUCAUAAGAUCAUUGACAGCUAAUCAGAAACUUCCAAACUUGUUCAGCAUUCAAAGACAGCUUGUAACCAAAUAUAAACUUCAAAUUUAUGCCUUUGUAAUGAACCUUAUGUAAAUUCUGUGUUCAGUGACCUUUAAUGAAAAACACACCAGAACCUUAGAAGAAUCAAAAUGUUGACUGUUUUCCUCUUGGUCUAAUUCCUUUAGAAUAAGCACAAGAGCUUCUAGAAAAAGUUCAACAAUUUAAUUCACUAACCAGAC
rnacentral:lncRNA from 1 species